AACGUAGGUUCCGAGCGUUAUCCGGAUUUACUGGGCGUAAAGCGCGUUCAGGCGGUUUGGCAAGUCGGGCAUGAAAUCCUUCGGCUCAACCGGGGGAGGUUGUCCGAUACUGCUGAACUGGAGGGCAGUAGAGGGUGGUGGAAUUCCGGGUGUAGUGGUGAAAUGCGCAGAUAUCAGGAGGAACACCGAUGGCGAAGGCAGGUCUCUGGGCCACUACUGACGCUGAGAAGCGAAAGCAUGGGGAGCGAACAGG
rnacentral:rRNA from 1 species